rnacentral:rRNA from 1 species
UACGUAGGUGGCGAGCGUUGUCCGGAUUUACUGGGCGUAAAGGGCGUGUAGGCGGUCUGUUAAGUCUAGGGUGAAAGCUCCCGGCUCAACUGGGAGAGGUCCUUGGAUACUGGCGGACUUGAGGGAGGCAGAGGAAAGUGGAAUUCCCGGUGUAGUGGUGAUAUGCGUAGAUAUCGGGAGGAACACCAGUGGCGAAGGCGGCUUUCUGGGCCGUACCUGACGCUGAGACGCGAAAGCGUGGGGAGCGAACCGG